AACGAACGCUGGCGGCAUGCCUAACACAUGCAAGUCGAACGAGACCUUCGGGUCUAGUGGCGCACGGGUGCGUAACGCGUGGGAAUCUGCCCCUUGGUUCGGAAUAACUUCGGGAAACUGAAGCUAAUACCGGAUAAUGACGUAAGUCCAAAGAUUUAUCGCCAAGGGAUAAGCCCGCGUAGGAUUAGCUAGUUGGUGGGGUAAAGGCUCACCAAGGCGACGAUCCUUAGCUGGUCUGAGAGGAUGAUCAGCCACACUGGGACUGAGACACGGCCCAGACUCCUACGGGAGGCAGCAGUGGGGAAUAUUGGACAAUGGGCGGAAAGCCUGAUCCAGCAAUGCCGCGUGAGUGAUGAAGGCCUUAGGGUUGUAAAGACUCUUUUACCCGGGUAACGGAAUAAUAGACUGUACCGGGA
rnacentral:rRNA from 1 species